rnacentral:tRNA from 1 species
GAGGGUAUAACUCAGUGGUAGAGUGCGUGCUUAGCAUCUGUGAGGUCCUGAGUUCAAUCCCCAGUACCUCCG